rnacentral:rRNA from 1 species
AUUGAACGCUGGCGGCAUGCCUUACACAUGCAAGUCGAACGGCAGCACGGGUGCUUGCACCUGGUGGCGAGUGGCGAACGGGUGAGUAAUACAUCGGAACGUACCUUAUCGUGGGGGAUAACGCAGCGAAAGCUGUGCUAAUACCGCAUACGCCCUGAGGGGGAAAGCGGGGGAUCGAAAGACCUCGCGCGAUUAGAGCGGCCGAUGCCUGAUUAGCUUGUUGGUGGGGUAAAAGCCCACCAAGGCGACGAUCAGUAGCUGGUCUGAGAGGACGAUCAGCCACACUGGGACUGGGACACGGCCCAGACUCCUACGGGAGGCAGCAGUGGGGAAUUUUGGACAAUGGGGGCAACCCUGAUCCAGCAAUGCCGCGUGAGUGAAGAAGGCCUUCGGGUUGUAAAGCUCUUUUGUCAGGGAAGAAACACCGGCUCUAACACAGUCCGGGAAUGACGGUACCUGAAGAAUAAGCACCGGCUAACUACGUGCCAGCAGCCGCAGUAA